ensembl:lncRNA
AUGGGUUUACUGCAGUGUGUGUGUGGUGCCACCCCUGCUGGUGGACGGGUAUACUGCAGUGUUUGUGUGUGUGUGGUGCUGCCCUCUGCUGGUGGAUGGGUUUACUGCAGUGUGUGUGUGGUGCCGCCCCCUGCUGGUGGACGGGUUUACUGCAGUGUGUGUGUGUGUAUGGUGCCGCCCCCUGCUGGUGGACGGGGUUACUGCAAUGUGUGUGUGGUGCCGCCGCCUGCUGGUGGACGGGUUUACACAGUGUGUGUGUGUGGUGCCGCCCUCUGCUGGUGGUCGGGUUUACUGCAGUGUGUGUGUGGUGCCGCCCCCUGCUGGUGGACGGGUUUACUGCAGUGUGUGUGUGUGUGUGUGUGUGGUGCCGCCCUCUACUGGUGGAUGGGUUUACUGCAGUGUGUGUGUGGUGCCGCCCCCUGCUGGUGGAUGGGUUUACUGCAGUGUGUGUGUGUGGUGCCGCCCCCUGCCACUGGACGGGUUUACUGCAGUGUGUGUGUGUGUGUGUGGUGCCGCCCUCUGCUGGUGGAUGGGUUUACUGCAGUGUGUGUGUGGUGCCACCCCUGCUGGUGGACGGGUUUACUGCAGUGUGUGUGUGUGUGUGUGUGGUGCUGCCCUCUGCUGGUGGAUGGGAUUACUGCAGUGUGUGUGUGGUGCCGCCCCCUGCUGGUGGACGGGUUUACUGCAGUGUGUGUGUGUGUAUGGUGCCGCCCCCUGCUGGUGGACGGGUUUACUGCAGUGUGUGUGUGUGUGUGUGUGUGGUGCCGCCCUCUACUGGUGGAUGGGUUUACUGCAGUGUGUGUGUGGUGCCGCCCCCUGCUGGUGGAUGGGUUUACUGCAGUGUGUGUGUGUGGUGCCGCCCCCUGCCACUGGACGGGUUUACUGCAGUGUGUGUGUGUGUGUGUGUGUGGUGCCGCCCUGUGCUGGUGGAUGGGUUUACUGCAGUGUGUGUGUGGUGCGACCCCUGCUGGUGGACGGGUUUACUGCAGUGUGUGUGUGUGUGUGUGGUGCUGCCCUCUGCUGGUGGACGGGUUUACUGCAGUGUGUGUGUGUGUAUGGUGCCGCCCCCUGCUGGUGGACGGGUUUACUGCAGUGUGUGUGUGGUGCCGCCGCCUGCUGGUGGACGGGUUUACUGCAGUGUGUGUGUGUGGUGCCGCCCUCUGCUGGUGGUCGGGUUUACUGCAGUGUGUGUGGUGCCGCCCCCUGCUGGUGGACGGGUUUACUGCAGUGUGUGUGUGUGUGUGUGUGUGUGUGGUGCUGCACCCUGCUAGUGGACGGGUUUACUGCAGUGUGUGUGUGUGGUGCCGCCGCCUGCUGGUGGACGGGUUUACUCCAGUGUGUGUCUGUGGUGCCGCCCUCUGCUGGUGGUCGGGUUUACUGCAGUGUGUGUGUGGUGCCGCCCCCUGCUGGUGGACGGGUUUCCUGCAGUGUGUGUGUGUGUGUGUGUGUGUGUGUGUGGUGCCGCCCUCUGCUGGUGGACGGGUUUACUGCAGUGUGUGUGUGUGUGUGGUGCCACCCCUGCUAGUGGACGGGUUUACUGCAGUGUGUGUGUGUGUGUGGUGCCGCCCUCUGCUGGUAGAUGGGUUUACUGCAGUGUGUGUGUGUGUGUGGUGCCGCCCCCUGCUGGUGGACGGGUGUACUGCAGUGUGUGUGUGUGGUGCAGCCCUCUGCUGGUGGAUGGGUUUACUGCAGUGUGUGUGUGGUGCCACCCCCUGCUGGUGGAUGGGUUUACUGCAGUGUGUGUGUGUGGUGUCGCCCCCUGCUAGUGGACGGGUUUACUGCAGUGUGUGUGUGUGUGUGUGGUGCCGCCCCCUGCUAGUGGACGGGUUUACUGCAGUGUGUGUGUGUGUGUGUUUGUGUGGUGCCGCCCCCUGCUGGUGGACGGGUUUACUGCAGUGUGUGUGUGGUGUCGCCGCCUGCUGGUGGACAGGUUUACUGCAGUGCGUGUGUGUGUGGUGCCGCCCUCUGCUGGUGGACGGGUUUACUGCAGUGUGUGUGUGUGUGUGUGGUGCCGCCCCCUGCUGGUGGACGGAUUGGACGCGAGUGGACUGUGAGGGCCCGUUCAUCACUGCUCGCAGUUUUAAUUCUUGGUUAUUAUUAGGGCCCGAGCAGGUAGACCUGCGAGGUCCCUAUUGUUAUUGGAAGGAAAGAAAUUUUCUUCUCCAAGUUUGA